rnacentral:rRNA from 1 species
CCUACGGGAGGCAGCAGUGGGGAAUAUUGCACAAUGGGGGAAACCCUGAUGCAGCGACGCCGCGUGAGUGAAGAAGUAUUUCGGUAUGUAAAGCUCUAUCAGCAGGGAAGAAAAUGACGGUACCUGAGUAAGAAGCCCCGGCUAACUACGUGCCAGCAGCCGCGGUAAUACGUAGGGGGCAAGCGUUAUCCGGAUUUACUGGGUGUAAAGGGAGCGUAGACGGCGGUGCAAGUCUGGAGUGAAAGGCGGGGGCCCAACCCCGGGACUGCUGUGGAAACUGGCAAUCUAGAGUGCAGGAGAGGUAAGCGGAAUUCCUAGUGUAGCGGUGAAAUGCGUAGAUAUUAUGAGGAACACCGGUGGCGAAGGCGGCUUACUGGACCGCAACUGACGUUGAGGCUCGAAAGCGUGGGGAGCAAACAGGAUUAGAUACCCCAGUAGUC